rnacentral:rRNA from 1 species
UAUAAGCAAGUCCAACGAAGGGAGGAAGAGUUUGCUCUUCCAAAGGGCGUGGUGGACGGGUUAGUAACACGUGGGCAACCUGCCUGUAGGUUGGGGAUACCUCCGGGAAACCGGGGCUAAUACCGAAUGAUAAAGUGUGGCGCAUUUCAUGCUUUUGAAAGAUGGUUUCGGCUAUCGCUUACAGAUGGGGCCGCGGUGCCCCAGCUAGUUGGUAGGGUAAUGGCCUACCAAGGCAACGAUGCAUAGCCGACCUGAGAGGGUGAUCGGCCACACUGGGACUGAGCCACGGCCCAGACUCCCACGGGAGGCAGCAGUAGGGAAUCUUCCGCAAUGGACGAAAGUCUGACGGAGCAACGCCGCGUGUAUGAAGAAGGUUGGCGGAUCGUAAAGUACUGUUGUUAGAGAAGAACAAGGAUAAGAGUAACUGCUUGUCCCUUGACGGUAUCUGGCCAGAAAGCCACGGCUAACUACGUGCCAGCAGCCGCGGUAAUACGUAGGUGGCAAGCGUUGUCCGGAUUUAUGCGGCGUAAAGCGCGCGCAGGCGGUCUUUUAAGUCUGAUGUGAAAGCCCCCGGCUUAACCGUUGAGGGUGCUUGGAAACUGGAAGACUGGAGUGCAGAAGAGGAGAGUGGAAUUCCACGUGAUUGUGUAGGUGAACCAGAUAUGAUGGAAACACGCAGUGGCGAAGGCGACUCUCUGGUCUGUAACUGACGCUGAGGCGCGAAAGCGUGGGGAGCAAAUAGGAUUAGAUACCCUGGUAGUCCACGCCGUAAACGAUGAGUGCUAAGUGUUAGGGGGUUUCCGCCCCUUAGUGCUGCAGCUAACGCAUUAAGCACUCCGCCUGGGGAGUACGACCGCAAGGUUGAAACUCAAAGGAAUUGACGGGGGCCCGCACAAGCGGUGGAGCAUGUGGUUUAAUUCGAAGCAACGCGAAGAACCUUACCAGGUCUUGAAAACCUUUGACCACUCUGGAGACAGAGCUUUCCCUUCGGGGACAAAGUGUCAGGUGGUGCGUGGUUGUCGUCAGCUCGUGUCGUGAGAUGUUGGGUUAAGUCCCGCAACUAGCGCAACCCUUGAUUUUAGUUGCCAGCAUUUAGUUGGGCAAAAUAAAGUGACUGCCGGUGCAAGCCGGAGGAAGGUGGGGAUGACGUCAAAUCAUCAUGCCCCUUAUGACCUGGGCUACACACGUGCUACAAUGGAUAGUACAAUCGAACGCGAAGCCGCGAGGUGGAGCUAAUCCCAUAAAACUAUUCUCAGUUCGGAUUGUAGGCUGCAACUCGCCUACAUGAAGCCGGAAUCGCUAGUAAUCGUGGAUCAGCAUGCCACGGUGAAUACGUUCCCGGGCCUUGUACACACCGCCCGUCACACCACGAGAGUUUGUAACACCCGAAGUCGGUAGGGUAACCUUUAUGGAGCCAGCCGCCGAAGGUGGGACAGAUAAUUGGGGUGAAGUCGUAACAAGGUAGCCGUAUCGGAAGGUGCCGCAUGUGACCAAUCCUUUCUGGUUAGAUACCGUC